ACGACUCUUGAUAUUUUCCAAGUCCUGUGAUUUCAUACCUGCCAAUUCUCUCCCAACCUGUUGGAUGGUUUCAUACCUGCCAAUUCUCUCCCAAGUCUGCCCAAGCCCAUUUUCCAGCCAACAGAUCAAAAAGAAAACACGUUCAGCUUUCACAGUUUUAUUGAGAUGUUAAGAAGAAACAGCCAACAUAUACAUUCCUCAUUUCGUCACGAUUGGCAUUUAACCCACACGAUAGGCUCUUCUCUGGCCGUCAUCCUCUCUUUGCUGCCUGGUGCUGUGUGAAGUCCACCAGGACAGAGCCCACGGGUGGCAUCACAAGUGGGAGCGGUAAUUGCGAUUGGCUGUAGGGGAAGGACAGGUUUGCAACAGGGACAGCAGUUGGAACGUCCCCAUUCUCCUCUUCCUGCCCCAGUAGAAAUUAAACAGGAAAUUCUCCACGAGGGAGGGCUCCUGUUUGAUUGCUCGCCUGCUCAUCCUUACCGUCAUCGCCCCGUUUCCUACUCUUCACGCUGCCCUUCCGGUAUUUUCUUUUGCUGCCACCUCUCUUGACUCCCUUGUGAGGAGCUCGGUUCUUGCCCCUCCUCAUGCCAUGGCUCUUUAAUUUGCGGCUGGUAGACAUUGUAAUUUCUGCCAAAAUGAGGGGCUUUGCAGGGCCGGGAGGCCAGGAGUCUGGGUAUUUAAGGCCUUAGCCAUUGUGACUGUGAAGGGGUGUGGCUUAGCAGGUGGGUGGGGCUCCACUGUGAUGUCACUGAGCUUUGUUACACUUGUCAUAUAGGAGAAAUAAGCUGGCCCCUUGAGUGCAGCUCAAGGCUAUCCUCAAUUUUGAGGCCCUUUUUAUGUUAAAUGAGGACUUCCAGACAGGUGUUAUUGAACAACUCAAUUUCUGCUCUGUGUCAGGCCUCUGGGGGAGUACAAGAGACCAUUAAAAUAGGCAACUUAUAUUCUGGGAGUACAGAGCCAAGAUAAUAGCUUGUGCUUGGAGCAGUGGCAGGAAUUGGCUCAGGGCACAUUCACAUCUGUCAUCAACAAGAAAUGGGCUUGGGUGUCACCGGAACCAAGGGGAACAGAAUCUAAGGAUUCUCAAACCCAGAAUAAAUUCUGACUUCCCCAGUUCUUCUGAGGCUUCCUGCUAGAUCUUUUAAAGCUCUCAACACCGAUAGCUGAUCCCGACUGAUAUAGGUCCCAUAACAAGGAAGACAGAGGUCAUCCCAUGAGGCCAUAAAAUCCUAGGCAUGCCAGUUUGUCUACUUGUGUGCAGGUGAAGUGGCUCCACCAAGGGUAGUCCAAGGCCAAGGGUAGUCCUCCAGAGGAGAAUGGACGCCAGUACAAAGCACUGGGGAAGAAGAAACCCAGUAGAGCUGGAAAAGCAUGCAAUGAACCAGUAAGAGGGAUCUGAAGGGACCUGCCCAGCACCCUGGUGGUUUCCACUAUGUGGACAUUGGAAAAUCUAGUUUACCCCACACAGAGGCUUAGGGGCCAGAUGUGUGAUCCCGGCAAGUGGUGUUCCAGGAGCUCGUGGCAGGGAAACAUCAGUCAAGUCAAGGAAGAUGAGAAUAUCUCCUGGAGAGGUAGGCAGAAAGAGGCGGACAUGCUUUCCAGGCUGGAAAACCAGAGAAGAGUGGUUGAGGCAAGUCCAGGAACACAGACUUGACUUGAGGGAAGCCUCCUACAUGAAUCCAAGGAACUUGCCAGAGUCUUUACUUUGCUUCUGUGUGUUGGAGUCGUAUCUGUAUACAUGACUCAGGCACGGUACACACACCGAGCAGGUCCCCGGAGCAAGUUGGGGUGGAAACAAGAAGAUGUGCUUGCUGAAGAAAGGGAUCAGGCUUCCCUGUACUCACUUUAGAUGAACCUGGGAUGGCACCCUGUCUGCUGGCUCCUCCUGGAAGGGACACCUGACUUAGUUUAUAUUUUUAGGUACAUCUGCAAUUGAUGAUAGGCUGUCACACAGCAGGAGGCUUGUGAUGUAUGAUGUGGGGAAUGAGUCCCUUCAGAUUUUCACAGCGUGUCCUCUUGAUUUCCUUAGCUAAACAAUGAAGCAAUUGGACACACCUUGCUCAAACUACUCCAGAUCUUUCCCAGACCUGGUUGGGGGCAUGUGCUCGAUCCCCACAUGUAACACAUUCUCCAGGAUGGUCCCGGGUGCAGAUGCAUUGCUUUGGGAGUGCAGCCACGGUAGCCUUGUACCCCACUGCCACAAGCCACACAUUGUCCUCUCAGGAAGCUUGCUAACAGCAGGUGAAGCCACCUUGUCUUAUCAUGGGGUGUUUUCAUGUGGAUGCACGCGGCUACCACAGAGGUCCAGGCACGGGAGUGGUCCCAACAUCCUUCUUGGUCUUGGUGGGUGACAG